rnacentral:rRNA from 1 species
GACAGAGGGUGCAAACGUUGUUCGGAAUUACUGGGCGUAAAGCGCGUGUAGGCGGCUCGGCAAGUCGGGUGUGAAAGCCCUGGGCUUAACCUAGGAAGUGCACUCGAAACUGCCAAGCUUGAGUCCUGGAGAGGAAGGCGGAAUUCUCGGUGUAGAGGUGAAAUUCGUAGAUAUCGAGAGGAACACCGGUGGCGAAGGCGGCCCUUC